rnacentral:rRNA from 1 species
GACGAACGCUGGCGGCGUGCCUAAUACAUGCAAGUAGAACGCUGAAGGAGGAGCUUGCUUCUCUGGAUGAGUUGCGAACGGGUGAGUAACGCGUGGGUAACCUGCCUGGUAGCGGGGGAUAACUAUUGGAAACGAUAGCUAAUACCGCAUAAUAUUGACUAUUGCAUGAUAGUCAGUUGAAAGGUGCAACUGCACCACUACCAGGUGGACCUGCGUUGUACUAGCUAGUUGGUGGGGUAACGGCUCACCAAGGCGACGAUACAUAGCCGACCUGAGAGGGUGAUCGGCCACACUGGGACUGAGACACGGCCCAGACUCCUACGGGAGGCAGCAGUAGGGAAUCUUCGGCAAUGGACGGAAGUCUGACCGAGCAACGCCGCGUGAGUGAAGAAGGUUUUCGGAUCGUAAAGCUCUGUUGUAAGAGAAGAACGAGUGUGAGAGUGGAAAGCUCACACUGUGACGGUAUCUUACCAGAAAGGGACGGCUAACUACGUG